ACAGAAAAUAUCAUUGUUGUUCUAAGUGGCACACAAGGCUUGCUCAGUCCUUCGAUUUCUCAGAAAUCUUUUCAAUUUCACAACAAAAGUUGAACGGUUUGCUUCUUGUUUAUUUAUUUCAUUUCAAUGGAUCGAGUUUUGGUGGCUUCAUAUCCAAUCAAUCAUCUGAUUCGGCCUCACAGUUUCCGAAUCGAUUACUGUUGGAGCACUUGUUUCAUUUCCAGGUUUAAUUCUGGUAAAGAACGGCAGAAAUUGAGCUCGAGGUGGCGAUGGCGAUCCAUGGCCUCGGAUUCUACUGACUCUUCUUCUUCUUCUUCUUCUUUUGCUCCAUCUGUUGAAUCUGAUCCUUCUGAUAAAACUUCAGCCAGCUUUUGUAUCAUAGAGGGACCGGAAACAGUACAAGAUUUUGCAAAAAUGGAACUGCAAGAAAUUCAGGAGAACAUUCGAAGUCGUCGAAACAAAAUUUUCUUACAUAUGGAAGAGGUUCGUCGGCUGAGGAUACAACAGAGAAUAAAAAAUGCUGAACUUGGAAUUUCAAAGGAAGAGCGAGAGAAUGAAUUACCCAAUUUUCCAUCAUUCAUUCCAUUCUUACCCCCGCUGAGUUCAGCGAACCUGAAGCUGUACUACGUUACAUGCUAUUCACUUAUUGCUGGCAUAAUAUUAUUUGGAGGUCUAUUAGCACCCACGCUUGAGCUGAAGCUGGGACUGGGAGGUACAUCAUAUGAAGAUUUUAUUCGUAGUGUGCAUCUCCCAAUGCAGCUAAGUCAAGUUGAUCCGAUUGUGGCAUCUUUUUCGGGAGGAGCAGUCGGGGUGAUUUCAGCCCUUAUGGUUGUUGAAGUGAACAAUGUAAAGCAACAAGAGCAUAAAAGAUGCAAAUACUGUCUUGGCACUGGAUACUUGGCAUGUGCUCGCUGUUCAAAUACAGGAGCUCUUGUGCUGAUUGAGCCGGUAUCGACUUUAAAUGGUGAAGAUCAGCCUUUGUCGCUACCUAAGACGGAAAGAUGCCAAAAUUGUUCGGGAUCAGGAAAGGUUAUGUGCCCUACGUGUCUUUGUACUGGUAUGGCAAUGGCUAGUGAACACGACCCACGAAUUGAUCCCUUCGACUAGACCUUAGUUUUGCAUAGUCAACUUUGUAACUAUGUAGAUAUACACGUUAGAGCUUUGCUCAUGGAGGACUUCACUCCUUUGAAGAGAGAAAACUGUUUGAAAAGAAAAGAAAAUUUAAUAUGAAUUAGGAAUUUUGAGUUGUAAGAAUUGGAUUGGGAAGGAUGCAAUAACAGAGGCAUGUUAAUUUAGGCAUAAAGGCUUAUCUUGGCUGUAUAUUGUGAAAGCUUCGUAGACCAUAUAGUCUCCAGUUAAUAUAAAUGCUUAUCUUGGCCAUCUAGUAGUGUUCAUGUAACAAUCAAGGGUUCUUCGGCCUCCAUCUGCCUUUCGGAGAGGGGUUUCUUAUGGCUUGCAGGUGUGCGCGCUAUUUUGUGGGAUCAUUUGGGGGAGAGGAAUGAACAUGUGUUUUGUAGAGUGAGGUUUGAUCUUUUCAUUAGAUUAUAUGUUUCUCUUUACGUUUCAAGAUUCUGAAGACUUCUUGUAAUUAUUUCGUUGAUAACUUUCUUUUCUUAA